rnacentral:tRNA from 1 species
GCUGAAGUAGCUCAGAGGUAGAGCAUGGAUCUGAAAAAUCUGGGGUCAUUCGUUCAAGUCGAAUCUUUAGC